rnacentral:rRNA from 1 species
AAUAUACGACAAGGGGCGAAAGCCUGAUCCAGCCAUGCCGGUUGUCCAUAGAAAGUCUUCGGCUUGUAAAGCACUUUAAGUUGGGAGGAAGCGCAGUAAGUUAAUACCUUGCUGUUGUAACGUUGCCGACAGCAUAAGCACCGGCUAACUUCGUGCCAGCAGCCGCGGUAAUACGAAGGGUGCAAGCGUUAAUCGGAAUUAUUGGGCGUAAGGCGCGAGUAGGUGGUUUGUUUAGUUGGAAGUGGAAGCCCCGGGCUCAACCUGGGAACUGCUUUAAAAACUGGCAAGGUAAAGUAUGGCAGCGAGUGGUGGAAUUUCCUGUGUAGCUGUGAAAUGCGUAGAUAUAGGAAGGAAAACCAAUAGCGAAGGCGACCACCUGGGCUUAUACUGACACUGAGGUGCGAAAGCGUGGGGAGCAAACA